ACGAACGCUGGCGGCGUGCUUAACACAUGCAAGUCGAACGGAAAGGCCCUGCUUUUGUGGGGUGCUCGUGGGGCGAACAGGGGAGUAAAACACGUGUAAACCCCCCUUGUCUUUGGGAUAACUUCAGGAAACUUGGGCUAAUAUCCGAUAGGAUCUCCUGCUGCAUGGUGGGGGGUGGAAAGUUUCGGCGGUUGGGGAUGGACUCGCGGCUUAUCAGCUUGUUGGUGGGGUAGUGGCUUACCAAGGCUUUGACGGGUAGCCGGCCUGAGAGGGUGACCGGCCACAUUGGGACUGAGAUACGGCCCAGACUCCUACGGGAGGCAGCAGUGGGGAAUAUUGCACAAUGGGCGGAAGCCUGAUGCAGCAACGCCGCGUGCGGGAUGACGGCCUUCGGGUUGUAAACCGCUUUCGCCUGUGACGAAGCGUGAGUGACGGUAAUGGGUAAAGAAGCACCGGCUAACUACGUG
rnacentral:rRNA from 1 species